CUACGGGACGCAGCAGUGGGGAAUAUUGGACAAUGGGCGCAAGCCUGAUCCAGCAAUGCCGCGUGUGUGAAGAAGGCCUGCGGGUUGUAAAGCACUUUCAGUGGGGAGGACGAGUUUGGUGCGAAUAGUGCUGGGACUUGACAUUACCCACAGAAGAAGCACCGGCUAACUCCGUGCCAGCAGCCGCGGUAAUACGGAGGGUGCGAGCGUUAAUCGGAAUUACUGGGCGUAAGGGGCGCGUAGGCGGUUAAUUAAGUCAGAUGUGAAAGCCCCGGGCUUAACCUGGGAACUGCAUUUGAUACUGGUUGACUAGAGUUUGGUAGAGGGGAGUGGAAUUCCCGGUGUAGCGGUGAAAUGCGUAGAGAUCGGGAGGAACACCCGUGGCGAAGGCGGCUCUCUGGACCAAAACUGACGCUGAGGCGCGAAAGCGUGGGUAGCAAACAGGAUUAGAUACCCUUGUAGUC
rnacentral:rRNA from 1 species